AGCGAACGCUGGCGGCAGGCCUAACACAUGCAAGUCGAACGAAGUCUUCGGACUUAGUGGCGGACGGGUGAGUAACACGUGGGAACGUGCCUUUAGGUUCGGAAUAACUCAGGGAAACUUGUGCUAAUACCGAAUGUGCCCUUCGGUGGAAAGAUUUAUCGCAUUUAGAGCGGCCCGAUUCUGAUUAGCUAGUUGGUGAGGUAAAGGCUCACCAAGGCGACGAUCAGUAGCUGGUCUGAGAGGAUGAUCAGCCACAUUGGGACUGAGACACGGCCCAAACUCCUACGGGAGGCAGCAGUGGGGAAUCUUGCGCAAUGGGCGAGAGCCUGACGCAGCCAUGCCGCGUGAAUGAUGAAGGUCUUAGGAUUGUAAAAUUCUUUCACCGGGGACGAUAAUGACGGUACCCGGAGAAGAAGCCCCGGCUAACUUCGUGCCAGCAGCCGCCGUAACAC
rnacentral:rRNA from 1 species